rnacentral:ribozyme from 1 species
AUAACCUCGGCAUACUUGACACUUCACUUGUCAGCGGAUUCCAACUGUCAAAUUCCGAUGCUGUCGCUUCUACAAUCCCAGGAACGGUAGAGUCUGUUGAUUUAUUAAGCAUAGCAGCUGAUCCUGGGGAGAUUGUCA